rnacentral:rRNA from 1 species
GACGAACGCUGGCGGCAUGCCUAACACAUGCAAGUCGAACGGAAAGGCCGGGCUUUUGUGGGGUGCUCGAGUACCGAACGGGUGAGUAACAAGUGAGUAACCUGCCCUUGACUAUGGGAUAACUUCAGGAAACUGGGGCGAAUACCGGAUAGGAUCUCCUGCUGCAUGGGGGGGGUUGGAAAGUUUCGGCGGUUGGGGAUGGACUGGCGGCGUAUAAGCUUGUUGGGUGGGUAGUGGCUUACCAAGGCUUAGACGGGUAGCCGGCCUGGGAGGGUGACCCGACCCAUUGCGACUGGGAUACGGCCCAGCCUCCAACGGGACGCAACGGUGGGGAAUAUUGUACAAUGGGCGGAAGGCAGAUGCAGUACAGCCGCGUGGGGUAUGACGGCCUUCGGUUUGUAUACCGAUUUCGCCUGUGCCGAAGCGUGAGUGACGGUACUGGGUAAAGAAGCACCGGCUAACUACGUG